AUACGUGCCUGACAGGGGAGAUACCAUAAUCACGAAGGUAGUUUUCCCAGGGUGAGGCUUCUCCAUUUCACUCCUGAUACACUAACUGACCCUUGCCAUUUCCCCAAAUGUGGGACUCUUGACUACAUAAUUUGUGGUGGUGGGGACUGCGUUUGUGCUCUCUCCUU
ensembl:snRNA U1 U1 spliceosomal RNA